UUGACUUAUUUUAUAAGUUACUCAGAGAUGCCAACUGAAAUCGAGGGUUUAGACGCCUCCGGCGGGAGCUACCCGCCGAAGCAACGGUAACGGUGAUGUUUACAAUGGUUUGGGAGUUUUGCAACUCUGUAAUGAUCCCUCCGCUGGUUCACCAACGGAGA
rnacentral:misc_RNA from 1 species